CUACGGGGUGCAGCAGUGAGGAAUAUUGCACAAUGGAGGAAACUCUGAUGCAGCAACGCCGCGUGGAGGAUGACACAUUUCGGUGUGUAAACUCCUUUUAUAUGUCAAGAAAAUGACGGUAGCAUAUGAAUAAGCACCGGCUAACUCCGUGCCAGCAGCCGCGGUAAUACGGAGGGUGCAAGCGUUACUCGGAAUCACUGGGCGUAAAGGACGCGUAGGCGGGAUAUCAAGUCAGGUGUGAAAUCCUACAGCUUAACUGUAGAACUGCACUUGAAACUGGUAACCUAGAGUAUGGGAGGGGGAGAUGGAAUUAGUGGUGUAGGGGUAAAAUCCGUAGAUAUCACUAGGAAUACCUAAAGCGAAGGCGAUCUCCUGGAACAUAACUGACGCUAAGGCGUGAAAGCGUGGGGAGCAAACAGGAUUAGAUACCCCUAUAGUC
rnacentral:rRNA from 1 species